rnacentral:tRNA from 1 species
UCCCUGGUGGCUCAGACGGUAAAGUGUCUGCCUGCAAUGCGGGAGACCUGGGUUUGAUUCCUGGGUCGGGAA